UACGGGGGGGGCAAGCGUUGUUCGGAAUUACUGGGCGUAAAGGGUUCGUAGGUGGCUUGCUAAGUCAGACGUGAAAUCCCUCAGCUUAACUGGGGAACUGCGUCUGAUACUGGCGAGCUUGAGUGCAGGAGAGGAACGCGGAAUUCCAGGUGUAGCGGUGAAAUGCGUAGAUAUCUGGAGGAACACCGGUGGCGAAGGCGGCAUCCUGGACCGAUAUUGACGCUGAUGCGCGAAAGCCAGGGGAGCAAACGGG
rnacentral:rRNA from 1 species